rnacentral:rRNA from 1 species
UACGAAGGUGGCUAGCGUUGUUCGGUGUCACUGGGCUUAAAGCGCUCGUAGGCGGGACCGUAAGUGUUUUGUGAAAUCCCCCGGCUCAACCGGGGAAUGGCAGGGCAUACUGCGGUCCUUGAGGCAAACAGGGGUGCAUGGAACUCUUGGUGGAGCGGUGGAAUGCGUAGAUAUCAAGAGGAACGCCGAUGGUGAAGACAAUGCACUGGGUUUGUCCUGACGCUGAGGAGCGAAAGCGUGGGGAGCAAAC